UUAAGCUGGCAGAAAGGAGGAUAUAUUUCAUCACGUGUUGGGUUCAUGAGCAGCCAGAGGAAGCAUGGUUUUCUUUAGCGGCCAUUGUAAGAGCAGAAAAGACAUCAGCCAUGGAAUUUCAACAGAGCAAUAAAUCUGAAAAUUUGAACAAUAAGGCAGAGGUCAAAGGCAAAAGUUUAAUUCAAGAGUUUUAAUAAUUUACGUAAACCGCUACCCCUUAUUGUUGACCAUAUUUAUUUUAGUCUUAUAGAAUAUAUGGAGACUGAAAAUGGUUGUUCUCAAAGCAGUUGUAAAUGUAUUUUUACAUAUAGAAAUCCUUAUUGACGAGAUAUUCAGUCUGGGUUGUGUACCUGAGAAGUUAUUAGACUAGGAGGGGUCCUGGAGUUCUUGCAGUGGCAAGAAAGUUAAGUUUCAAACUAGGUGAAUUGAUAAUCUAUUUACAUUUAACGAAAUAUCAGAACGUAAUUAUUCGCAAACUGUUGAUCUAAUUGAUUAAAUUUGCUUGUUAUAUGAUUUAAUAUUAACUUUGUCGGUGAUUAAUUACUUAAAUUAUGUUAGUAUUAUUUAGUGAAAAAGUUUAAAUGGGCUGAUUGAUCUCAGUGAGGGUAGUCAAUAUUUUGGGGUCCUAAUAAAGUUUUGUAAGAAAGUCUAGCAUUAUAUUAUUAGAUUUUUUUUUUUCAUUUAAAAUGUGGAUUUCUUGUUGAAUAUCAGGAUGAGGUCAUGUUGAAUGGGUUAAGAUGUAAUUUUUAUGAAUUUAAUUAGUCCCCUAAAAAAAUGAAUUUAAUUAGUGGAACUGUUACCAAAGUGGCCACACCAAUGAUCAUUGUAUGUGAUUCAACGUCAGAAUCAGAGUAUUUAAUCAAAUUAGUUCUGUUAGACUGUUACAGCAGCUAGUGUGUUAGGGUGAUGAAUCGGCAAGGGUCAUUCGCAGGUUUUAAAGCGCAUGCAACAACAAUCUCCUACCUUGAGUCCUUUUUCCUAUUCUCCUUUAGAAAGUGAAAGAUAAGGUUUAUUGGAACCAAAGAUGUAAAAUGGUACUUAUUAAACUGUGUUAAUGGCGUUUACUAUUAUGGAAAAGUGGAGUGACCUCUCUUAAUCACGAGAAGAUGUUGUCCGUUUAAUAAGUUUUUUGUCCAAGAAAAAACUCACAGUAGGUAUUGCUAAGAAAAAACGAGAGAGAGAGAGGGAGAUGAUCAAACUCAUGUACUCAAAAAAUGUGUUUUACAGCGUAAUUAAUUGAUUUGAUUUGAUGAAAUGAUAAUAUUAUUCUUAAUUUUUUUAUUGAAUUGACAUCACUUGUAUGUAUUCUUACAAAUCCUCUCAUUUCCAUUGGCCAAUAUCGCAGAAUCUAAAAUCGAAGACACAAAAUCCAGCAUCUAGAUUGAAUGAUUGUGAUGAUAACUAUCAUAAUUUGAAUAUAUACGAUAAUCUCGAGAUCUCACAUCAACCUAAAAAGUAAGUAACGAAUAAAAUAGGCUUAUUCUCUAGCAAAAGGAUUCCACUAAUGAAGAAGUGAUCAUAGAGCUAUGUCAGUAACUUUGUUUCCACAGCGAUAGACUUCUUUGUAUGUUUAUUUUUUUUUUUUGGAGGGCAUUUGUAAAUCAAAGUUGCCCGCUACACUUUGUGCAAAUAAUUGCCCCACUAUUAAUAUUAAAAUUGCACUAAAGAGUAGAAAAACUGCAAAAGUGUCUGAAAAUUACCACUUCUCUGUGUAGUGUCCAUAUAUAUAUGAUAACGUUCACUUACAAAAUUUUGUUUUACUUUUCACUUUUCAGUGACUAUUAAAAUUGUUCCACUAUUAAAAAUGCACUAUAAUUUAUAAAGCGUAAAAAGUGUUUAAAAAAAAACUGUAUAGAAACGAAAAUGAGGGAGGUUCCGUCUCCUCCUUUUAAAAAAAAAUAUUUUUUAAUAUAAUAAUAUAUGAAAUUAUUAUUUAUUUAUUUGUUAGUUAAUUCACACAAUUUAUUUAUAUAAUCUUAUUUUUCAAUUUUAAAAGUCAUAUCUUUAUUAAUUUAAUUUAAUACAAUAAAUAAAACUUUAUUCUAGACAAUACAAAUAUUUUUUUAUCAUACGUUAUUCUUAAUUAUUUAAUAAUGGUGGUGUUUUUGUUUAUAUUUUAAAAUUUACUAAAAAAGCAUGUAAAAUACAUUGAAAUCUUACUCGUGUGUUAAAAUUUGUUUCAUUUCAGUUCAGCUAUUCAUUUUUGGACUCGUGUGCCAGUGUAGAUGAUCCACCACCAAGAUGGUGUGUGUGGCAUGUGUAACGUUGUUACUUUAAUUAUGUAGUUUAAUUUCUGAUUUAUUUGUAUGAAAAAAAUUUAUUGAAAGAGAUUAAUUUUUUAAAUGAAUAUCCUUAUUUUAAAAGGGAUUAAUAAUUGAAUAUCCCAAAAACAGAAGAGAGAAGCACCCGUUUGAACUGACAUUAAUCUUUAAAUAAGAUCGGGCCUGUUGAGGGAUGGGUUGAGCCCAAGAAGAAAUGGGUACCUUAAGUCACUCUUGGGUGACGCUAGGUGUACCAGCUCCAUUGCUUGUGCACCCAGUAUUUUUUUUAAUUCCAAAAUUACUCUACGUUAGGUAUGUGAAUUCGUGGUUGAUCGUAUAAUUUAUACGGAUGAACUUGAUUCGUGAAUAUAAUUUAAACAUACGUAUCAAGUUGAUCUGUAUGAUUUGGACGAACACUUGAUUUGUAUGAGUCAUACGAAUCAAAUUCAUUUGUACAAAUCAUACAUGAUUUGUAUACAAAUCAACAUGAUUCAUAUGAGUAUUGAUCCGUAUGAGUCAUAUGAAUCAACUUGAUCCAUAUGAGUCAUACGAAUGAACUUAAUUCGUAUGAUUCAUAAGGAUCAACAUGAAUGAUACGGAUCAACAUGAUCCAUAUAAAUCAUACGAAUCAACUUGAAUGAAGGAUAUUUUCGCCAUUUACUUAAAAUGUUGGGUGCACUAGCAAUACAUCACCCGUCACUCUUUGGUCAUCCUCAAGCGUUGGGAUUCUUAACCCUUCUUUCUUUAAGAAUCCUCAUUCCAGAAAUUGCAUUGCAGAGGAAAGACCGAGAAAAAAAAAGAAGGAAUUUUGAUGGUAAACUAAUAUUUCUAAUAUCAGAAUUCGAAAGAAGGAAAGAAGAAUGGGAGGUUCAUCGGAAACGAAGCUUAUGCAAGACCUGUUGUUGUACGCGGCGAGCGCGGCGCUAAGUUGCUUGGUGUUGUUCGCCGGACUGAGACACCUGGACCCUAAUCGCGAAUCGUCGAAGAAGGCUCUCGAGCAUAAGAAAGAGAUUGCAAAGCGUCUCGGUCGCCCCCUCAUUCAGACUAACCCUUACGAGGUUUUUAUCCAUUGCUCUGUUCUUUUUUAAUUUUUAGGUUCGAAUUCGAAUGAUUCUAUAAUCGGUGGAAUAAUGUGCUUUUGAGUAGCUAAGCUCUAAUGUUGACCUUCAAUUUAACUUCUGGAAGAUAAAGUUUGGUUGUUUUUUUAUGUACAUCGUGUACCUUCAAUUUAUCAUGUUUCUCUUAUAUUCUGUAAUCAAUGGAAUUUUGGCCAGUUGUAUUCUUGAAAGAGAUUGUUCAAUUCCUUAUGCAUUAAUCUAUUAUGAUUUCCUAAUUUUGGCCAACUUCUUUGUUUAAUUAUGAAAUUAAUUUAAACCCAGAAUUCUAUCCAAAUAAUCAUACAAAUGAAGGACUAGAUCCAUUUACAUAUCCUCUAUAGAUAUACAUGGCCUUACUUUAUUUUAACUGUUAAAAAUAUUGGACCAUAGUUAAGUAUUAUCUUUUAUUGUGUGCCAGGAUGUAAUAGCCUGUGACAUUAUAAAUCCUGAUCACAUUGAUGUGGAGUUCAACUCUAUCGGGGGACUGGAGACAAUCAAGCAAGCUUUGUUUGAGCUUGUUAUUCUGCCUCUAAAAAGACCAGACUUGUUUUCGCACGGUAAGCUUCUUGGACCACAAAAGGGGGUCCUGUUGUAUGGACCGCCCGGCACUGGAAAAACCAUGCUUGCCAAAGCUAUUGCCAAGGAGUCAGGAGCAGUUUUUAUUAACGUGAGAAUAUCGAACUUGAUGAGCAAGUGGUUUGGGGAUGCCCAAAAGCUUGGUAAGAGCACAAUAUAUUUAUGGCUACUUUUACAAUACACUGUAAAGCUAUACUCUACUGUCUACAAUACUUAGUAUGGAUUAUAUAAUUAUCUUGGUUCAAUAGAUUAAAUUAUCUUAUUCUCAUGUUUUGAUCGUUUCUUUUUCACAAGGUCAGCAUGUAUACACAAAGAUUCGAUAAUCUGUUCAUCAUCACUUUGCAUAUACAUAAAAGCUUGGCAAUCUGACUAUUUAAAUCAUUGUACAUAAUUCGUUAGUAGUAUUGAUGAUAAUGAAGAGCUUAGAAGAGCUUGAAGUUUAAGCAUCUUGUUUUAGUAAACUAAUCUUUGACGAUAAAUGAUGGGGAUCUUUGGUGAAGAAGUAGUGUAAGUUAUUUUACUAGUAAAAAGUAGUAACAAAUCAAGAGUAAUUAAAUAAUACAAAAGUCAAAGACUCAAAUGGGCCUCCUCUUUUUCCAGCACUGUUAUUUUUUUGAAAAGUUAAUCUUUUUUACCCGUGGUUCUUGAGAAUUCCGAUGUAAAAGUAUCUAGAAAGUACUCUUUUUGGCAGCAAACCCUAUAUUGGAUGAAGUUAUCAAUCCGUAUAUAGUAAGUUUGAUUACUCACACUUAAACAUGACUUUUAGGAUCUUCUCUUUUUUCUCAUUAAAUUACAUGGUUUUCUUCUAUACUCAAAUUUUAGGGCUUGUUCAUGUUGAGGAAGUGCUUUCUGUUUUAAUUCUUUUUCACUUUUAAUUACAAAAAUGUCACCUUAUUUUCACUUUGUCUUUGUUUUAAAAGAAAUGUAUAAAACAACUUGUUAUUGUUUUCAUUGUUUCUUAUACAAUUUGAAAAUAGGAAACAAAUUGAAAACAUAUUUUACUAGUGACAUUUUUGUAAUUAGAAGUAAGCAUUUUCUUAAACCAAACGGCUCAUUUUUCUUCUUCUCAAACACUAUUACUUAUAUUAGUCAAUCCCAGUUUGAAUUUUAAAUUUUGAAUUUUGACAGAGGUUACGUGUGUUGAUCGAUUCAAAUACACUUUAUGUUCUACAAUUUCCUUCUUGAUUUCAGAAGUCUUAUCUCUUUAAUUUAUUCUCAUGUAAUAAGAUAGAAUCCUGGACAAUGAAGACACAUCCUAUCAUACUUCCUUCUUUCUAAGUACACUUUGUCUGAUAUUUUAAUUCUUAUAUAUUCUUGUUUUUAUUUAUAGUUUCAAAUUCCACAAAUUUAAAAAUACCCGUGCAAUGUAUGGAACUUAUUAAUAUGAUGGAUUUUUGCUGUCAAAUUCAGCAUGGUGAAUCUUAUUGAUUUGUUGUUUUUAUGGAUGAAGCUUUAUGAAUAUCUUGUAAGAUGAUAUAUGUAAUCUGAUUUGUUUGAAUUCAAAUAUAUGUGGAUUGUUAAUGUCUGUAUAUAUAUAUAUAUGUUUGUGUUUAUUAAAUUAUUUGACCUAUAUUGUGGUGUAUGUCUUUUAAUUAUGAGAAUUUGAACAUCAAUGAUUUUCAUUUUAAAUUGAAAACUACUUUGAUUUUAAACUUGGUAUUAAUUUCUCUAGAUUUUUGUGUGUAUGUUUAUUAAAUUCUUUGACAAAUAUUGUGGUGUAUGUCUUAUAAUUAUCAGAAUUUGUUGUAAUGUGGUAUUCAUACAGUAUUCUACCCAUGUCCCACACUGGUAUUAAUGUUUUCUGCUAUAAAAUUGAAUGGUCUUUAAACAAUGAGACAUACUGUUCGGCAAAGUUAUCUUUUCAAUCCAUUUAAAUUGGAACGUGUCUUGUGAAUGAAUAUAACACAACUGUCCUAGUUUAUGGGCUUGAGAUUUAGCUAUGUAUUGGAACAUAAGCAUUUGAACUUGAUAAUAUACUUGUUAAGGUAUGGAAGGCUUUAGGAGAGAUAGGCAUUAGGGGUGGCUCACAAAGUUGUUUAAUGAAAUUAUGAGGUCUAAGAUCAUGCUGGACCUGGAUUCGGACUGAAAAAAAGUUAUGCUGAACAAGUGGAGCAGUAAUUUUUUCCCUAUCUAUAAAACAAGUUGGCUUAUUAAGCUGCAGAAAUCAUGUGAUUAAGUUCAUGAUCCAUACUAUGAAGCUACGACGAAUGGUAUUUGGCUGGAGAUUAAGGCAAGAGACUCACAUUACAGAAAAUUAAUUCUGUCAUCGUUUCCUCAAUUGGCACUACACCAAUAUCUCCUUGUACAUAAUCAUUCUCAUCUGGCUAAAAUAAUUCACCAAACCUAAAGUACCACUCUAGCUUACGAUAAAAUUUUACCAUGUAGUUAUAGGACUUGUGAUGUUGUAUGGGACUAAAUGUUGGGUGUUGGCAUGUAUUGAACCGACAAAGGAAAAAAAAAUUCAGCUAAUAGUUAGAGCUAGGUGUAGAAAAAUUGCAGGCCAAUAGGACCCUAUGGCAUCAUUUGAUUUUCAUGUAGCCGACGCUGCUAGUAAAAGGCUGUUGUGUCUUAUGAAGAAUAUGUCGGUGAAACAUGUGACUGCAUCUUUGAUAGUGGCCCGAUAUUAGUUUUUUCCUUUCUUUCCUAUUCCUAAUAGCUUUGUUUGACAUUCAUGCAGUUUAUACUGUGGACUGUGGAUGUUCUUUUGAACUGAUGUUUCAACCUUUUUCAUGGAUAAGGUUCUGUCUUCAUCUAACGGCAGUCUGUUGAUAGUGGCCUUACAUUGGAAUAAUUAGCCGUAGCUGAUAGAAAAUCAAAUAUCAUUUUUAAGUAGAAAGGAAGCCCCCUGCCUCCACCUAUUUAAGGCCAUCUGACAAUGUUUUGCAUCUGCUAAAUGCUUAUGAUUGGUCAGGAAUGAACCGUUAUUCUGAAAAAAGUUAAUAUAGUAACUGAUUUUUUAAAUAAAAUGGUUAGUUCUUAAUCACUUUCAGUUUUCGAAUGAGUGAAAUAAUUAAUUACCCUAUAUGUUGUUGCUGGGUGAAUUUUCCAUCCUUGCAUUCUCUUUCCCUUGGGGAGUGGAUAGUGAUUAGUGAUAGGCAACCCCUGUAUAUGUAACUAUGCUUUCAUUUUCCAAACCCUGCCUAUGUAAUUAUAUGAUGUAAAUUUGUAUCUAAUUUUGAAUGUGCUUAAUUAUGUUUUAUGUUCUUUUUCUUUGUUUGAAGUGUGGUUUUUUUUUUUUAUUCUACUAUUAAUAUUCUGCUGUUCUGCAGUUGCUGCUGUAUUUAGCUUGGCUUAUAAGCUUCAGCCUGCCAUCAUAUUCAUUGAUGAAGUAGACAGUUUUUUGGGUCAGCGUCGUACAACAGAUCACGAGGCUUUGUUAAACAUGAAAACUGAAUUCAUGGCUCUGUGGGAUGGAUUUACAACAGAUCGUAAGUUUAAACCAGUUAUCAUAUUAUUUUAUUUCAUUGCAUAAAUAUUCAAAAUAAGUUGCAAAUAAGAUAAUGACAAUUUUGAUAGAGAUUUGGUUGGUAACAUAAUGUUUUCAAUUUAUUUAUAUUUGAGUAGAUUUGUUGAUUGGGGUGACUUAUUGUGUGUGUUUGUGUGUAGAGAAUGCUCAAGUUAUGGUCCUUGCAGCAACUAAUCGUCCUUCAGAACUUGAUGAAGCAAUUCUUCGGCGUCUUCCUCAAGCCUUUGAAAUUGGAGUUCCAGACCAAAGGGAGAGGACUGAAAUAUUGAAAGUUGUCUUAAAGGGUGAGAGGGUUGAAGACAACAUAGACUUUGGUCAUAUAGCUGGCUUGUGUGAGGGUUACACUGGUUCAGAUCUAUUUGAUCUAUGCAAGAAAGCUGCCUAUUUUCCUAUUAGAGAACUUCUGGAUGAAGAAAAGAAAGGAAAACGAUCUCCUGUUAGUAUAUUUAAGUCAUUCUCUUCUAUUUUCUUCUGUCUCAAUUUUUUCAUUUUCCCAAUAACUAUGUUACCUACUGCUGAGUUGACUAGAAUUCCAUAUCAAUUUCAGUUUCUGUUAACUAGAAAGGAACAAAUCAAUUGAGCAUGUCUAUUUUAUAUAAAACCAUUGUAUGCACCCAAGGUUAUAUUUGCAUGCCUUAAAGUGACAUCUUUGGUCAAUGAAAGCUAUUACUUAAUGUGCAAGAUCAAUUUGUGGCUGUGUUAGAUAUGAUUUCAUUAUUAAGUCUUUUUAAAGAAACUGAUUAAUAGUCUUCUCCGUGGCUUUCUCAUAUAGUAAGUGCUACUAUGCUGUUUGGUCUAUCUUUCACAUUUCAGGCACCUAGACCUUUGUCCCAGUUAGAUUUGGAGAAGGCCCUUGCUACUUCACAGAAGACAAACGUUGCUGCUAGUGAAUACAGUGGAUUCAGCCUUCAGUCACCUUCAAGAUGGACAGUGCCUGGUGAGUCAGGUGAUUCUCAGUUUCAAGCUGCAAUCCAUGAAGUCUCUAAGCUUGUGGUUUCUCACAUGAUUAACCUCCAAUCGGAUUCUCAGGAUCCUUAAAAUGCUUGCUUUCUUUUGACCAUUAUUCUACUGUCAUUUAGCCUAGUUCAGAUUGUAACAGUGAUUGCUUAGUUAUUAUACUAAUUAUAGGAACAUAUAUUUAUUAUACAUUGGUUAUAAAAGUGUCAUUGUUGGCUAUUGCAUUAUGUUCAGUCGAUGCAUCAUUUCUGAUAUUCCAUUUAUGGCAAAUUUUGUCUCUGAUUACUACUUGGGUAAUGCAGAGAUAAUUUUGUAAUUGUGUUGUUCCACCCUCUAUAUUGUACUGUGAUAUAAUGCUGUAAAAUGACAAAACGGUAGCUAAUGUCUAUUUCAGGUGUCAGAUACAUCCACAUUCAUUGACAUUGCAUAAUACUAACCGAACUUAUACAAAACAAGGGAUUAAUAAAAUCCUUCUGCCCCAAUUUGUUAGGUGGAUUCAAGAUCGAAUUACGCAUUCUAUUCUGUUUUGUUUAGCUUGAGGAAAAGGGAAAAACAUGUCAUUAUUUGAAUCAGCACUAAAUUACUUUUACUUCAAGUCCUAUUGAUACUAACAUAAGCUCAGAUUCAUGUGUUCUGUUAUGUGAUUUAAUCUAUGAUUAAUUGGAUCUAACACUAACAUGCCCAACAACUUUAACAGAGUAAGCUUAAGACAGAUCAAGAUGAUGCAGUGUGUGUCGAGUUGCCAACAACCAUCAAUUAUUGAGGCCUCGGAGAAAUAACUGGCAUUGGAGUGGGUUCGGCGGGGUUAUAAUUUUAAGCAGUGGGUCAGUUAUCAUCCUUGUGUUUUUGUUGUCUUUAUGGUCCACCCGCAUAUGCUGAUGAUUAACUCAAACCCUUGAAAGUUGCGAGUUCUUCCCAUUACAUUCAUUCAUUAUGUAGUAGGACCACAAAUUUGUACUUUUCCCUCUCAAAACAUAAUUUCUACAGUGAAGCAGGACCACUACNNNNNNNNNNNNNNNNNNNNNNNNNNNNNNNNNNNNNNNNNNNNNNNNNNNNNNNNNNNNNNNNNNNNNNNNNNNNNNNNNNNNNNNNNNNNNNNNNNNNGGGGGGGGGGGGGGGGAAACUAGUGUUAAAUAUCGAAUAAACUUAAGAUAACGGAGUAAUUAAAUAUCAAAACGAGGUAUCUUAGGAGAUUAAUUUUUAACUUUCGGAUAAGGGAUACCUAGAUUUACCAAAAAAACCCGAAUAAAUUUAAGAAAACAGUAAUUAAAUGUAAUUAAAUGUGUUGUACUUGUCACAAUCCGAUAGGGAAAAUUCUCUUUCUUUUCACAGAUUUAGGCUUUUGGAAAUGAAAGUGGCUAUUCUGUUUGGAAAUAUCCCCGUCCUUGUCGAAGACCUGGGAGUCUUGUGGAGAGAAACACCCUUACAGAUUAUUGGACACGAAUGGAAAAUAAUAUAGUACUGAAAGAGGCAUGACAACUCUGUAUUUCUUCACCGAUAUGACACUCUAGUUUAUGGGAAUUUUCGAUCUUUUAAUGGCUACAACCAUUUUAUAGGUUUUAAUUUUUCAGGUAACAAAACUCGUGAUGCUGACCCAUUAUAUAUGGAGUCGUUAUUGAUCCAAACAUGCAGUUGUCCCUAUUGUUAAUGCCAUAUCCUCGUCUUACAAAAGUAAGUGUUCCACAAAAAUGAAUUAAAUGGUUUUCAAGGGGUCAAAUCGUUACAGCGAUAGUCAUUUGUUAAAACUCCUGGCGGAUUCGUCCAGGUUGCACCAAAUUUAUUUAUCUACCAAAAAAAAAUUCUUAUCUUUUUAGGUUUUAAAAAGAUGUGGAACUAUUAUAAUCACAGCGUAACUUUGAUCAAAUGAUUCCAUCAAAAAUUACAUUUCGAUUUAACAUUUUGUAGUAAUUUUUUUAUUUGUUCAGUGAAGAACGGAGCACAUCGGUAUUGCAACAAGCUUUGAGUGGCUGGGAAGACUUCAGUAGGUUGCAAGUUGCAACUAUGCAACUUCCUGAGCAAAGUGAUUGCCUAUGGUUGUGUCAGGAAGAAAUUUUGUAGUUUGCUUGUUCCUUUUUUUUUUCCCCGCACGACUAAGGCCAUGUUUGUAUCUUCGUUGACACUGUGGUAGCUUGAAUUCCAAUACAUUUUCAACACAUAAUAAUAAAGGAAAUGUUUUUACAGAAGUAUGUUGGGCUGUUGGAGGCAACUCAAAAUUAACACAGACAUGCACUACAUGGCUUUAGUUGUCAUAAUAAUUUAAUAAAUAUGUUGUUUGAAUUUACUAUGUCCUUUAACUGGUUAAUGAGAAAGGAAAAUAGUGAUAUUGAUAAGUAAACGACCAACUAGUUAUAUGCCAUCCAUAGAAUUGGGCUAUUGCUAUAAUCAAUUAUAGUUGUUGGCGAUUGAAUGUUUAAAAACUAUUUUUUCCUGACUAGCCAACCUUCAAAAUCAAAGGAGACAAUUAAACUUACCUUUGAAUGCAAUUUUAUAUAAUGUUUUUCUUUAAUUAUUCUCCUCACAUUACCUUUGAUUCUGGACGAAUUCUAUACUUGUAAGAGUUUAUUAAUUGUGGUGGCAAAUCAUCAUGGUCCAAUGGGUAUCAUGAAAUAAACGAUUCUAUUACAACAGGUAAUUGAAUUUCCGUUCAAAACGAAUUAGUUAACACAUUGAUCUUUACUAAAUAAAAAAGAACAAUUAUAUUUUUACACGCAAUCAUAGACGUAAAAUUAGCUGAUAUAAAGAAAUGUACAUUCAAAUAUGAGAUUUUCAUGCGUUUAAGUUACGUAAAAUCCUAUGUUUCUAUUUCAUUUUACAAAUACUAGAUUAAUUAUCCGUGACACGUACGAAAAUUAUGAAUCACGCACGUAUUUAUAAAAUCAUUACUGUAGAUAUAUUUUGAUAAAUUAUAAAGUUAUUAUAGAGCACAAAUAUAGCAUGAAUAGGGGCCAAUUAAAUCUAUAUAUAUUUAUGAAAAACACAAAUAACUACAAUUUUUUUAUGAGUUUAAUUUAUAUGCUUUGUCAGUGCAAAAAAAAAUACAUUAUUAACCAAUUUGAGAUAGAAUGAUAGUGCAAAUUGUUUUAGUCGUGAGUAUAUAUGAUUAUUUAUUCACUAUGUUAUCAAUAUCUAUAAUUGGAUGAAAAAUAAAUAUCAUUUACACAAUCAUUUACAAUUUUAAAAAUCAUUUACAUGGUCCAUAGUUUUAAAUGAUCUAUAAUCAAUGGGUGUUGAAUCUAGCCUAAGGAGUUACUCCGUUAUAACGUAACUAAUGGAGAUUCAAAUUUUGUUGGAGGAAGUAAUUAGCAUCUGAUUGUGAUUCAAAUAAAAUUGUCUCUAAAAAAAUAUACAUGUUGGACACAAAAAAUAAAUGUUAGAUAUAUAAUUAUAUGUUGAAAUGAAUUAGUGACUAACUUCUUGAAAGGAUUAUAUACUAAUGAAAAUAACUUUGCUCAUUUUAAAUUUCAUAUAAUUUGGUGUUGUAAAAUUUUCAUAUAAAGAGUUAUGUGAUUCAAUCACAAAUAUUAUGUACAGUAAAUUGGUUGAUUUUUAUAUAAAAAAAAUCAUAUAAUUUUGAUUGGUUGGUCGUAUGCAAUUUUUUACACUAAGAAUACAUAAAAUUUAACUUUUAAAAUUAUCAAUUUUUGUGAUACUUAUUUUAAAAAUCAUAUAUAAAAUAAUUUUUAAUUACACAGAAAAAAUUACAUUAAUAAUUUAUCAAAACUAAACUAUAAAAAUAUUAUUUAAUGCAUAUGGAUAAUGAUUAACAUAAAAUGAUAGUGACUUUUAACGGAACUUAUUAUAAGAAGAAAAAAAAAUAUUCUUCAAUAUUUUAAAGUAGAAAACUUUUAAUAUAUUUCCAUAAUAUGGCAUUUAAAACUACAUGCUUAAAAAAUUUAAAUCACUUUACUUGGAACCCAAAAUUACUCCCUUAAGAAAUUUAAAUAACUUGUAUGUGAAGUAACACAUGUUAGGAUGCAUUUAGUUGGCAUAACAGCACAUAUUAGGACACAAAUUGGUAGCCACGGUUGAUUUAAGACAACUUACCUGUAAGUGUGUCAUUUUCUGUAAAGUGCCCCUUUAUGAAAUCAUGUGAGCAACCUAUCAUUAGAAGAAGUCAUCAUCAUUCGCCCACAUAUAUUAACAUAUGCCAAGAAAAUAAAUAAAAGAAAACUUAUAAAAAUCCUAAUAAGGAUAAUUGAGAAAUGUGGGCGCAGUGCUAGCAAGAGUCAAAAACCUUGAAAAUCAAAACACACCAAAGAAGAACACAUGUUUUGAUUAAUUUGCCGGCACAGACCUGACCCUUUCAAACCUCUUUCUCGUACAAAGUUCCUUCCCCUGCAAUAUCAAGAAAUUCACUUCAUUAACAACACACACACACUCAUGCCAUGAUUUCUCAAAUUAGCAUGCUUUCCCUUUUCUUCUUCCUCUUCUCCUCUUUUCUAAUCGUUUUCUUCUUCCGCAAAACCUCUGCACUUCACAUCCUCAACCAAUGGUUCCUUUCCUUCGAAAACCGUCUCCACCUUCACCAGUCCUUCAAAAUCCCUCGCUAUAAUCUUCACUCUCUGGACAAUAGCCUCUACCGGAAAAUCCUCACUUACCUCGAUUCUCUUCCCUCCGUUGAAGAUUCCGAUUACACCAACCUCUUCUCCGGCCCCAAUCCCUCCGACAUCUUCCUCCACCUCGACCCUAACCACACCGUU
rnacentral:lncRNA from 1 species